GGUGCUGUUUUGGAGUGGAUAAUUCCAUAGUGCUGUAGCAUGAAGCCAUAUGCCCCCGAGAGUGGAGAAACGGUUCAAAUCCAAACCCCUCAUUCUCACCAAUGUCUUCAUGGAUGGUCCAUCAUUCUAAAUAAGGUGAUACCAGGAUACACUGUACUUACAGAUGAGGGUGUAUGUUGGUAUUUAAAACUCGUUUAAUGUUUUGAGAUCUUUCUGGGAAGUUCCUGAAAUAAGAUAACAUCUAUGCUAAACUCCUCGGUACACAUAGCUAUCUUGAAUGGCUAGCCUUAUACUUGCCAAGAAACGACUUGUACUAUGAAGGGACUAAGCUGCAGAAAUCUUAACUACGUCAAAGCAUUGUUAAAGGGGAAAUCAUGACUUUUCUGCCUAGAAGAUGUAGACAUGUUGCAGCCAGGCACUGUUGGAUUAAGAAAAUUAAAUUUAAUUACCACAAUGGUUUCACCCCGGGUCAGUCACAUCCCAAGCCAGCUGUUUUGUGCCUUGCUACAAGCUCUCAGCAAGAUUUUCUUUGCCUAGUGCUCUAAAGACAUUCCAGCCACUUCGCUUCUGAGCGAUUUAACUAGCUAGAGGUUGGUCUUCUUCCCAAGAGAGCUCUUACUAGAAAAUCUUUUGUGUCCUUAAUAGAAGUUCAGGCAUUUUAAUGAAGCCCAAAUCAAAGUGUUUCUUCCAGGCAGUCGGUGCUUCAAAGAGUUGUAUGUGCAACGGUCUUAGCACAGAUGUUCUGCACAUGGAUGGUGGAAAGACUUGAAAAGACAACCCUGUGACGGAGAACUGCUUGUGGUUUGCAGACAGGAGGCUGAACAUGUUCCCUUCAUGUGACCAUUUGAACUGCAGUGGAGCAGGGCGAAUGGAGCAGACAGCUGCUUCACAUACACUCACCCCUCAGAGGCAGUGGACAGAGCAUUGCUCAUUGCUGCUAAGUCCUGCUGUAAGUUGCUCUUUGGCACCCUGGAACACCUUGACAAGUCAUCGACUUCGUUCAGAAAGUGCUGAACAAAUGUGGCAGUCCUUAUCAUCACAUGGGGUUGUGUGAUGGGCCCAGGAGGGCAACUCUGUAGAGGCUCCCUACACCUGGAAAGGCCUAGAUGCAGGUGUCGAGGAGGCAUCCGCACUCUGCUCUGAGUUAUUUUCCCUCCUUCCCUUCUACUGUUGCUUCGUCCUUCUUCGCACUUGCCCCCUCUGCCCUUCAGUCCACAAGACAAACAGCACCACCCAUGGCUUAGUCCAGAAGCUUCCCUGCUAGAAAAGCGAGACAAGUUUCUCUCUUUGUCUCCCCUCCCCAUUUAACUCAUUGAGAACAGUUUUGAUUGGUCAGGCUCCUCCAAGGAUAGGUAGCAAACUGGAGCUGGGAAGGGAGUAGAGGGCUACCCUGGUUUUUCUAGGACCAACACAAGCAGACACACUUAAGGCGUGUCCUUGGAGGUGGGGAAGACAGGCUAUGAAAGCGCUCACUUGCCACCUUACCCUGUUUUCUUUAGGAGGUUGGUGACCCUGAAAUAGUGCCAGGGAAUGUCAUUGUUUUCUAUGUACAUGGCAGCCAAUGUUACCUUACUUCUCUCAUCUUUUUGUGGUAAAGUUUCAGUUAAAAAAUAAAAAAGACUC